UACGUAGGGCGCAAGCGUUAAUCGGAAUUACUGGGCGUAAAGCGUGCGCAGGCGGUUUUGUAAGUCUGUCGUGAAAGCCCCGGGCUCAACCUGGGAAUUGCGGUGGAGACUGCAAGGCUUGAAUCUGGCAGAGGGGGGUAGAAUUCCACGUGUAGCAGUGAAAUGCGUAGAGAUGUGGAGGAACACCGAUGGCGAAGGCAGCCCCCUGGGUCAAGAUUGACGCUCAUGCACGAAAGCGUGGGGAGCAAACAGG
rnacentral:rRNA from 1 species